UACGGAGGGUGCGAGCGUUGUCCGGAAUCACUGGGCGUAAAGGGCGCGUAGGUGGCGCAGGAAGUCAACGGUGAAAGUUCGGGGCUCAACCCUGAAUCGGCCGUCGAUACUCCUGGGCUCGAGCACUGUAGAGGCAGAUGGAAUUCCGGGUGUAGCGGUGGAUGCGUAGAGAAUCCGGAAGAACACCGGUGGCGAAGGCGGUCUGCUGG
rnacentral:rRNA from 1 species